rnacentral:rRNA from 1 species
UAGGGAAUCUUCCGCAAUGGGCGAAAGCCUGACGGAGCAACGCCGCGUGAGUGAUGAAGGUCUUCGGAUCGUAAAACUCUGUUAUUAGGGAAGAACAAAUGUGUAAGUAACUAUGCACGUCUUGACGGUACCUAAUCAGAAAGCCACGGCUAACUACGUGCCAGCAGCCGCGGUAAUACGUAGGUGGCAAGCGUUAUCCGGAAUUAUUGGGCGUAAAGCGCGCGUAGGCGGUUUUUUAAGUCUGAUGUGAAAGCCCACGGCUCAACCGUGGAGGGUCAUUGGAAACUGGAAAACUUGAGAGCAGAAGAGGAAAGUGGAAUUCCAUGUGUAGCGGUGAAAUGCGCAGAGAUAUGGAGGAACACCAGUGGCGAAGGCGACUUUCUGGUCUGUAACUGACGCUGAUGUGCGAAAGCAUGGGGAUCAAACAGG